rnacentral:rRNA from 1 species
GAAGCGGCAACAGCUCAAAUUUGAAAUCUGGCGCAAGCCCGAGUUGUAAUUUGUAGAGGAUGCUUCUGGGCAGCGGCCGUUCUAAGUCUCUUGGAACAGGGCGUCAUAGAGGGUGAGAAUCCCGUAUGUGACCGGCGCGCACCCUCCACGUAGCUCCUUCGACGAGUCGAGUUGUUUGGGAAUGCAGCUCUAAAUGGGAGGUAAAUUUCUUCUAAAGCUAAAUACCGGCCAGAGACCGAUAGCGCACAAGUAGAGUGAUCGAAAGAUGAAAAGCACUUUGGAAAGAGAGUUAAAAAGCACGUGAAAUUGUUGAAAGGGAAGCGCUUGCAACCAGACUUCGCGGCGGUGUUCCGCCGGUCUUCUGACCGGUCCACUCGCCGCCGCGAGGCCAACAUCGUCUGGGGCCGCCGGAUAAGACCAUGGGAAUGUGGCUCCCUCGGGAGUGUUAUAGCCCACGGUGAUGCGGCGCGCCUCGGGCGAGGUCCGCGCUUCGGCAAGGAUGUUGGCGUAAUGGUUGCCAGCGGCCCGUCUUGAAACACGGACCAAGGAGUCUAACAUCUAUGCGAGUGUUCGGGUGUCAAACCCCUACGCGUAAUGAAAGUGAACGGAGGUGGGAGCUUCGGCGCACCAUCGACCGAUCCUGAUGUCCUCGGAUGGAUUUGAGUAAGAGCAUAGCUGUUGGGACCCGAAAGAUGGUGAACUAUGCCUGAAUAGGGUGAAGCCAGAGGAAACUCUGGUGGA